UACUACAACACCUCACCCAGGCUACACCAGACGUAUCCUAGUCCUAAAUGUGAAUACCGCAGGAGAGGAGGACUGUCCGGGCUGCCUCUCUUCUGAUAAGCAUCCUAUGGUAUUCUGUACAAGUCAAGAUGGCGGUGUCGGCAACG